UCGCUCAACGGAUAAAAGGUACUCCGGGGAUAACAGGCUGAUACCGCCCAAGAGUUCAUAUCGACGGCGGUGUUUGGCACCUCGAUGUCGGCUCAUCACAUCCUGGGGCUGAAGCCGGUCCCAAGGGUAUGGCUGUUCGCCAUUUAAAGUGGUACGCGAGCUGGGUUUAGAACGUCGUGAGACAGUUCGGUCCCUAUCUGCCGUGGACGUUUGAGAUUUGAGAGGGGCUGCUCCUAGUACGAGAGGACCGGAGUGGACGAACCUCUGGUGUUCCGGUUGUCACGCCAGUGGCAUUGCCGGGUAGCUAUGUUCGGAAAAGAUAACCGCUGAAAGCAUCUAAGCGGGAAACUUGCCUCAAGAUGAGAUCUCACUGGGAACUUGAUUCCCCUGAAGGGCCGUCGAAGACUACGACGUUGAUAGGCUGGGUGUGUAAGCGUUGUGAGGCGUUGAGCUAACCAGUACUAAUUGCCCGUGAGGCUUGACCA
rnacentral:rRNA from 1 species